rnacentral:miRNA from 1 species
AUAAUAAGUUAGAGUUAUAAACCGAGAAGGAGGUUUAUAACUGAUAUAUUGCCCCCGAGGACGCGCAGCGUCCUAGGGCAAUAUAUCAGUUAUAAACCGACUUUCGAGGUUUAUAACUAACUUAUAU